AGACAGCCGCGGUAAUUCCAGCUCCAAUAGCGUAUAUUAAAGUUGUUGCAGUUAAAAAGCUCGUAGUUGAAUUUCGGGAUCAAUAUGUCUGUCGUGCCUUCGGUACGUACGGGUAUAAUUGGUUUCUACCUUCUGAUGAACCUUGAUGCCAUUAAUUUGGUGUCUUGGGGACUCAGGACUGUUACCUUGAAAAAAAUUAGAGUGUUUAAAGCAGGCAUACGCUUGAAUACAUUAGCAUGGAAUAAUGAAAUAGGACGUUCGAUUCUAUUUUGUUGGUUUCUAGGAUCGACGUAAUGAUUAAUAGGGAUAGUUGGGGGCAUUAGUAUUCAAUUGUCAGAGGUGAAAUUCUUGGAUUUAUUGAAGACUAACUACUGCGAAAGCAUUUGCCAAGGAUGUUUUCAUUAAUCAAGAACGAAAGUUAGGGGAUCGAAGACGAUCAGAUACCGUCGUAGUCUUAACCAUAAACUAUGCCGACUAGGGAUCGGAUGAUGUAAUUUUUAAUGACUCAUUCGGCGCCUUA
rnacentral:rRNA from 1 species